UUUGCGUCCCAUCGCAAUUCGCAAAGCAUAGCAUAGCGUAGCGAAACCUCGACGGUCUUAAUUUCAGACGCAGGUUUGACCGCUUCCAUGAAACUGGAUUAACCGAUUUUCCCAGCGCAAUCCUGAAAUUAAUUGAGAUUUCCGCCGGGUUUAUGACCUCAAUGCACCGCUUUUGGUUCCCUUCAUCCGCCGUCGCCAUCGAAGAAGCUCCAGUUGAGAUCCCUCGUCCUGCAUCCAAAACCACCGGAUUCCUUCGUCGAAUUUGAGCUGCGCGAUCCGACGAGUUUUUCCUACAUAGCAUUUUAUCGUUGAGAUAUACAAAGCGUUGUUUGGAAUUGGAGAAUUCAUCCAGUGAUUUUGUUUGCGUCUUGGAUGAAACGUGAAUUUACAAGCUGAUUUGUUUUGUAUGUUGCUCGUUUAUUGGCCAUUUGCAGAGAAACAAUGAUCAGUGAAAUAGAUGUCAUGUACAUAAUUAUGGAUUACACCGGAGCUCGCUUAAUCCAGAAGCAAUGGAUUCAAAGGACCGCCUGAUUCUGGAUCAUCGUAUUGUCAAGUAAUGGCAACUUGAAGUUCUUGGAGUUCUUGUAGGAAGCAUGAACAUAGUUAAGGGCGUAGCUGACUUGAUUCGGAGGACAUCCAGUGGCCAUAUCGGAGUGUCCGGUACAGGGUCACACGCUAACAGUCCAUACCCUCCGAGUCCAAAAAUACGAUUCAGUGAAGUUGGCGACGAGGCGAUUCUGAAUGAACUUUGGGUUAGAUAUGAGAAAGCGGUUGAUAAGGGGGAAAGAAGAAGGAUGUUUUAUGUUUUCUUGAAGCAAUUUAUUGUUGUAUACAAGAACUGGAAACCAAUAAAUGCUGGCUGGCUCCCAAAGGAUGCCUCAACUUCUGUUCAAACUACGAACUCGUCUACUUCGGAUCAUACUGUUGUCGGCUGCUCUAGUGGACAUCCUUCCGAAAUCAUCUUAAAAUUAACCGAAGAGGUCAAGCAAUUGACUUCUGUUGUCGUUGAAUGGAGGUCAACAGCGGAUGUACUUGGAGCAUCAACUGGAUUAAAUUUAACUUCAGAAGGGUUUCUGAUCUUGGAUGCCCUGGCAAUAGUUAUGCGUUCGAUGCACAACUGUAAAAUUUUUGGGUACCAUAGUGGGAUUCAGAAGCUCACAGCAUUGAUGAAAGGGGCUGUUAUCCAACUUAAGACAAUAGCGGGCGAAGUUUCAGGCGAUGAAGGUCUAUCUAAUAUUGUUGUGGAAAAUACCAGACUCCUACAACACGUGUUAAUAAAUGUGGUGUCGAUAGUACACUCCUUUAUCGAUAUAGAUUCACUUCUAUGUGCGGAGGAUCAUUCUCUAAGCAUGAAUAUACCGUCUUGUGAAGAGAGAUUAAUGUGGCGUCAGAAGGCGGUUGUGUCAGUGAUGGAAGCUGGUGGAAUUAAUUGGUUAGUAGAGUUGUUACGCGUUACUAGAAGGCUGAAUAUCAAAGAACAAAAUAUCGACGUGGAGCUCCAAUGUUUGGCUAUAAAAAUUCUCUAUUCUGCAUUAUCCGAGAACCCACGGGGUCAAAAUCAUUUUAAAAGCAUUGGUGGACUUGAAGUCUUGUUAGAUGGCCUUGGAUUUCCAUCCAAAAUCGUUUUAGCUCCGAAGGACCUGGCUGGUUCUGACCAGAAAAGAGACGAGAGCAGCUUCCUUAACAUUUUGCAGCUGCAUGUUCUUUCACUGGCAGUCCUUAGAGAGGCCGUCUUUGGGAAUUUAAACAACAUGCAAUUUUUGUGUGAAAAUGGGAGAAUCCAUAAAUUUGCAAAUAGCUUCUGUUCUCCAGCGUUCACGCUUCAAGAAGAAUACAAACUGCAGAUUGGGGAGUUAUCUGGACAGCAAGAUUUUAGAUGGCCUAGUCUUGACUGUAAAUACAAUGUUGCAGCACAAUCAGGAGAAUGUUCUGUUUUACCUUUAGCCAAUCUCACUCAUAUUCAAUCUUGGAAUGAAUAUGUUGUGAAGUUAUGCAGAGUACUUUGUUCUUUUCUUCUUGCUCCAGAUGAUGUUAAACCUCAUCAUCCUCAAGCAUCUUCGAUUCGAAUCAUGACACCUGUUUCAUUGGUCUACGGCGAUCUUUCAAUCAAAUGGGUCAUGAGGGUACUUGUAGCCGUGUUUCCCUGCAUUAAGGCUUGCUCUAAUCAAAACGAUUUGCCUGCCCACUUGAGGAUCCUUGCCAAUGCUUUGCAACACUCCGUCCUUGCUGCAUUUAGAAAGUUCCUUGUUUCUUCUCCGGUGUCUCUUGAAAUUUUUCGAGAAGAGGGGAUAUGGGAUCUUUUCUUCUCUGAGAACUUUUUCUAUUUUGGACCUGCUUUUGAGGAGUUUACCCUAGAAUCUUGGACAAAUAAUGAUGAUUUCUUGGAGAAACCUGAAACAUAUUAUGCUACUAGCUCAAACUGUCCACCAAAGGUUGACGGGGUCGAUUUGAUUCAAAUUGAAGUCAUUUCAUUUGUAGAGUUUGCUGCAACUUCUUGUGGAAGUGCACAUAAUUUACCUGAAUUAUCCGCUUUGUUAGACACCCUCGAACAGUCUGCUUGUAAUUCCGAGGUUGCCGUUGCUCUCUCUAAGAGCCUCCUCCGCAUAUUACAAAUUUCACCCGAGAGAACUGUUGCUUCAUUCAAGACAUUGAAUGCCAUUCCUCGGUUGCUUAAAGUUGCGUGUGUUCAAGCCCAGGAACAUAGAAGAUCUGGAAAUGCUAUUUCAUCCGAUAUUAAUUUUGUCGAAGGUAUUCAACCUCGAAGUAAUCAGGGACACGAUUCACGUGAGACAGCUCAAAGUUGUCUUACAUGCUUGGAAACCAUCAUGGAACUUUUCACAGAAUUUUCCUCAAAAGGAGAUGAUGCGCAAAAGUUGGUUCUGCUUAAUCCAACAUCAAUUGACUGUCUGUUCGAAUUAUUUUGGGAAGAAAGUUUGAGAAGCCGUGUACUUAAGCACACACUUGUGCUCAUAAAGAUAAAAGCAAUUUCUGAGGAAGAUCAUAAGGCAAAACUGUAUAUUUGUACUAAAUAUCUCGAAACGUUUGCUCAAAUUAAAGAGCGGGAGAAAAGUUCAACAGAACUCUCUAUUGAUCUAUUGGUUGGAAUCAGGGAGAUGGUUCUGAAUGAUCCUCAGUACUACCAAGCUCUGUUUCGUGAUGGAGAGUGUUUUUUGCAUAUCGUCUCUUUGUUGAACGGUAAUGUCGACAAGGAAAUUGGAGAAAAGUUGGCUUUGAACGUCCUUCAAACUCUUACUUGUCUGCUGGCUAAAAAUGAAGUCUCAAAGGCUUCAUUUAGAGCUUUGGCUGGCAAAGGUUACCAGACAAUGCAAACUUUGCUCUUGGACUUCUGUCAAUGCCAUCCAAGUGGUGCACUCUUAGGUGUUCUACUCGAUAUGCUUGUUGAUGGAACUUUUGACUCAAAGUUGUGCCCUAUUAUACAGAAUGAAGAUGUGAUCAUUCUUUAUCUGAGUGUUCUGCAGAAGAGCAGUGAGCCAUUGCAGCAUCAAGGGCUUAAUAUAUUCCAACAGCUUCUUCGGGAUUCUAUAUCCAAUCGAGCUUCUUGUGUGAGAGCAGGAAUGCUGAAUUUUCUUCUCGAUUGGUUUGGUCAAGAUAACAAUGAUGGCAUCAUUGUGAAAAUUGCUCAGUUAGUUCAAGUGAUAGGUGGUCAUAGUGUGUCCGGGAAGGAUAUCCGCAAAAUCUUUGCUUUGUUAAGGAGUGAGAAAGUUGGGAGACAGAAACGAUAUUGCUCGUUGUUGAUGGCCAGUAUUUUAUCAAUGCUAUCUGAGAAGGGACCGACCGCUUUUUUUGAUAUGAGCGGGAACAACUCUGGGAUCUUAAUUAAAACACCUGUUCAGUGGCCUCUCAAUAAAGGCUUUUCUUUUUCAUGCUGGCUUCGGGUAGAGAACUUCCCAGUACAUGGAACAAUGGGUCUUUUCAGCUUCCUUACAGAAAAUGGAAGAGGCUGCUCGGCCGUGCUUGCAAAGGACAAGCUUAUUUACGAGUCUAUCAAUCUGAAGAGACAGAGCGUCCGGUUACAUGUUAAUAUAGUCAGAAAGAAGUGGCAUUUUCUUUGUAUAACCCAUAGUAUUGGAAGAGCAUUCUCUGGGGGUAGCUUAUUGAGGUGUUAUGUGGAUGGUGAUCUUGUUUCUUCUGAGAGAUGCAGAUACGCUAAAGUUAACGAAGCACUAACAAAUUGCACGGUUGGAGCAAAAUUCAGUGCGUCUUUGAGUGAAGAAGUUGACACAAAGGACUCUGUUGAAGCUGCAUUUCCUUUUCUUGGUCAGAUAGGUCCUGUUUAUUUAUUUAGUGAUGCUAUUUCUUCUGAGCAAGUGCAGGGUAUUCAUUCGCUUGGACCGAGCUAUAUGUAUUCAUUUCUUGACAAUGACAUUGCUACUUUCUCUGAAAAUCCAUUGCCUAGAGGAAUUCUUUAUGCUAAAGAGAGUUUGGCAUCGAAAAUUAUCUUCGGCCUUAACGCACAGGCAAGCAGUGGAAAAUCAUUAUUUAAUGUUGCUCUAACAUUAGAUCAAAUUUCGGAAAAGAAUUAUUUCGAAGCUAUUGCUAUGGUUGGCACAGAAUUAUGUUCAAGACGCUUACUACAGCGGAUUCUCUACUGUGUUGGAGGCGUCACUGUACUUUUUCCUCUAAUUUCUCAGUCUGACAGAUACGAAAGUGAAAAUAAUGGUCAGUUUUGUCAGAAUGUAAAUAUAGCUGGUACAAAGGAGUGUCUAACAGCUGAAGUUAUUGAACUUAUUGCUUGCGUCCUUGACGAGAACUUACCGAGUCAACAUCAGAUGCAUCUCCUUUCUGGUUUCUCCAUUCUGGGAUUUUUGCUGCAAUCGGUUAAUCCGCAGCAGCUUAAUAUGGAAACUCUUGCAGCUUUAAAACAUCUUUUCAACGUCAUUGCGAACUGCGGCUUUUCUGAGCUGCUCAUUCAAGAUGCUUUAUCUAGCAUAUUUCUUAAUCUCUCAAUCUGGAUCUACUCGCCUUACGAGGUGCAGCGUGAAUUAUACUUGUUUCUCAUUCAGCAGUUCGAUAACGAGCCCAGGCUACUCAAGAAUCUUUGCCGCCUCCCACUUAUUCUAAAUAUGAUUCGUAAGUUUUACUGUGACAAAGCUAAAUUAAAAUUUGCUUCUGGAAGCAAGACUUCUCUGCAUCCACCUGGUGGAGUUCUUGGGCCUACUAGGGAUGAAAUACGGAAAAUUCGUCUUCUUUUACUAAGCCUUGGGGAAAUGAGCAUUCGGCAAAAUAUUGUAGCAAUUGAUAUAAAAGCUCUUAUUGCUUUUUUCGAAAGAAGUCAGGAUGUGACGUGCAUCGAGGAUGUUUUGCAUAUGGUAAUUCGAGCUAUAUCUCAAAAGACAGUUCUUGCUUCUUUCCACGAGCAAGUUAGUUUCAUUGGUGGUUGUCCCGUUUUUAUCAAUCUUCUUCAGAGGGAAUUCGAACCUAUCAGAUUGCUUAGUUUGCAUUUCCUUGGUAGACUUUUGGUUGAUCUUCCUUCUGAGAAGAAAGGAUUAAGAUUCUUCAAUCUCCCAAGUGGAAAACCUAAACCAAUUUCUGAUAGCCAUAAGAAAACUAGUUCAAGGAUGCAACCGCUAUUCUCAGCUAUUUCUGAUAGGUUGUUUCGGUUUCCACCGACAGACAAUUUAUGUGCUGCAUUGUUCGAUGUUCUUCUAGGGGGCGCAAGUCCCAAACAGGUAUUGCAGAAACAAAAUCAGUCUGAUGUACAAAAGAACAAAUCUCCUGGAUCUCAGUUUGCUGUUCCACAGAGUUUAGUUCUUAUUUUCAAGUUUCUAUGUAGCUGUGAGGAAAUUUCUGCAAGACUAAAAAUAAUCACAGAUCUUCUUGAUCUUCUCGACACAAAUCCUUCAAAUAUUGAAGCGUUUAUGGAAUAUGGGUGGAAUGCUUUGUUGACAGCCUCUGUAAAGCUUGAUGCUUUGCAGCAAUACAGAGUUGAGUCGGUCGGUCGAGUUGACAAUAAAAUAAAUGAGCAGCGCAGUAUAAGGAAACUAUUUUGUGUUGUUCUUUUGCAUUACAUAUCGACCGUGAAGGGUGGCUGGCAACAAUUAGAAGAAACAACAAUCUUCUUAAUUAUGCAGUCUGAGAAAGGCCAAGUCUCCUUUAAAUACUUUCUUCGUGAUAUGUACGAGGAUCUGAUUCAAAUGUUAGUGGAUUUAUCUUCUGGGGAGAAUAUAUUUGUUACACAACCGUGUCGAGAUAAUACACUAUACCUUCUAAGGCUUGUUGAUGACAUGCUUAUAGCUGAACUCGACCAUCAGUUACCGAUUCUAGCGAAUGUCUUCGAUGUCUCUCCCGAAUCCAUGGAACUGGAGCUUCACAUCUCUGCCUUACAUGAUGUUUUGCAAGGAGACUCUGAUGACCAGACAGCAAGAUAUGCGCAACAUCAAAUGGACGUUAAAGAGGACAAGAUGGAUGAAAAAUGGUGGCAUCUUUACGAUAAAUUGUGGAUUAUUAUUAGUGAGAUAAAUGGCAAGGGACCGAACAAAUCUUUGCCGAAAUCAUCAGCUGGAGGUCCUACAUUUGGUCAAAGGGCCCGUGGUUUAGUAGAGUCACUCAACCUUCCUGCUGCAGAGAUGGCUGCAGUUGUUGUAUCAGGAGGCAUAGGCAGUGCAUUGGGAGGAAAACCAAACAAAAUUGUCGAUAAAGCCAUGCUUUUGCGCUCGGAGAAGUUCCCAAGAAUUAUUUUUCGACUUGUGAUGCUUUACAUUUGCAAGGCUCCUCUAGAAAAAGCGUCGCGAUGUGUGCAGCAGAUUAUUUCACUUUUACCUUCUCUUGUGGUUACUGAUGAUGAGCAAAACAAAAAUAGGUUGCAGCUGUUCAUCUGGUCUUUGCUUGCUGUUAGGUCACAGUACAGAACGUUAAAUACCGAUGCUCGCAUUCAUGUCAUAUCGCAUUUGAUUCGAGAAACUGUAAGCUGUUGCAAAUCAAUACUUGCCAACAGUAUGAUAAGCACAGACGAUUCUUCGGAUAAUGGUGCUUUUCUUAAAGAGGCUGGGUACAUUCACAACCUGAUACAAAUAGAACGAGUUACUGCAGCUAUAGCUGAUGAAGUAAACUAUAUGAAGUUGUCGAAAAUUGACCAUCAGAAGCAGUUGCAUGAACUAAGACUUAGAAUGGAAGAAAGCUUAUCUAACGAGUCGAUCAACCAGAAGGUUUUUGAAGAGGAGAUGCAAAGUAGUCUGACUUCCAUUUUGAUUGCAGACGACAAUAGAAAGGCUGCAUUCCAGCUUGCUUAUGAGGAAGUGCAGCAAAAUAUCGCAGAAAAGUGGAUGCACAUGUUUCGUGCUUUGAUUGAUGAGCGAGGCCCGUGGUCUGCUAAUUCUUCUCCAAACAUUUCUUCAACACAUUGGAAGCUCGACAAGACGGAAGAUAUGUGGCGACGAAGACCCAAACUAAGAAAGAAUUAUCAUUUUGAUGAAAAGUUGUGUCAUCCCCCAUCAAUUUCUCCUAACGACGACAUUAAUAACGCUGAAAAUGUAAAAAAAUCUAGUAUUGUCGGGCACAUGCCGGAGCAAAUGAAAAGAUUUUUGCUGAAAGGUGCUAUGAAGAUAACUGAUGAAGGAAACUCCGAGCCCAUUGAAAAUGAUGUUGAACCAUGUGAACCAAAUGCUUCUAAUCUCAAGGAUUCUUCGGACGGUCAGUACCUAGAGCAAGUCAAAGACGUCGGUGAAUGGAAAGAUAUUGUACAGGACAGAAAAGAUACUUCUUUAUUUUCUCCGGUGACAGAAGAAAGCGAGGUUCUCACGUCAACUCCAUGUGUACUUGUGACAUCCAAAAGAAAAUUAGCUGGAUAUUUGGCUGUAAUGAAAAACGCUUUGCAUUUCUUUGGGGAGUUUUUGGUCGAAGGUACUGGGGGAGCGUCCACCUUUAAGAACUUCGAAGCUCUUAAAAGUUCGGAUUUGACUAAGCUCGAUCAAAAGCAGAAGUCUCUAAAGUGGCCUCUAUAUUUACAAUUGGAUUCCACAAAGGGUACAGUAGUUGAUGAUGUGGACGUGAUGAAUGACGAUGGCAAUUUAAAACGACCACUAAAAAAUUUCAGACGUCAUCGGAGAUGGAACAUUGGAAAGAUAAAAGGAGUUCACUGGACUCGAUAUUUGCUUAGAUACACUGCGAUAGAGAUCUUCUUCAGCGAUUCCGUUCCACCAGUCUUUUUAAAUUUCAACUCACCAAAAGCUGCCAAAGAUAUUGGGACGUUGAUCGUGUCAAGUAGAAAUGACUAUUUGUUUCCUAAAGGUAGUAGUCGAAAUCAAAGUGGAGUUAUUUCUUUCGUUGAUAGACGUGUUGCCCUCGAGAUGGCAGAAAGUGCCCGAGAGAGUUGGAAGAGAAGGGAUAUUACAAACUUCGAGUAUCUAAUGAUUCUCAAUACUCUUUCUGGAAGAUCUUACAACGAUUUAACUCAGUAUCCAGUGUUUCCCUGGGUUUUGGCGGAUUACUCCUCCGAGGUUCUUGAUUUUAAUAAGUCGUCAACUUUUCGUGAUCUUUCAAAGCCUGUUGGAGCAUUAGAUCCGAAACGUUUCGAGGUAUUUGAAGAUAGAUAUCGUAACUUUUGUGAUCCCGACAUACCAAGUUUUUAUUAUGGAUCUCAUUACUCAAGCAUGGGAAUUGUUCUCUACUAUCUUCUACGCUUGGAGCCAUUUACUUCUCUUCACCGGAAUUUGCAAGGGGGUAAAUUUGAUCACGCAGAUCGACUGUUUCAAAGCAUCGAGGCGACAUAUAGAAAUUGCUUGUCCAAUACAAGUGAUGUGAAGGAGUUGAUACCUGAGUUCUUUUACAUGCCAGAGUUUCUCUGCAAUUCAAAUCAUUAUCACUUGGGGGUUAAACAAGAUGGUGAACCCUUAGGUGAUGUAGUCCUCCCUCCUUGGGCCAAGGGCUCACCUGAAGUAUUUAUAAGUAAAAACAGGGAAGCACUUGAAAGUGAGUAUGUUAGUUCGAAUCUACAUCACUGGAUAGAUCUUGUUUUUGGUUAUAAGCAGCGUGGAAAACCAGCCGUGGAGGCUGCAAAUGUCUUUUAUUAUCUGACUUAUGAAGGUGCUGCUGAUCUUGGCACUAUGGAAGACGAUUUUCAACGAUCAGCGAUUGAAGAUCAAAUUGCCAACUUUGGCCAAACGCCAAUCCAGAUCUUUCGUAAAAAACAUCCAAGAAGAGGGCCACCAAUACCGAUAGCACACCCGUUACAUUUUGCUCCGGGUUCCAUUAAUUUAACGUCCAUUAUUUCAUGUUCCACUCAUCGUCCCUCGGCCAUAUUACACAUUAGUAUGUUAGACACGCAUAUUGUCCUUGUGAGCCAAGGGCUAGUUCUGACUGUUAAGAUGUGGUUGACCACUCAGUUACAGUAUGGAGGAAACUUUACGUUCUCUGGGUCUCAGGAACCUUUUUUUGGAGUGGGUUCGGAUAUUCUUUCUCCUCGUAAAAUCGGGAGCCCUCUAGCUGAAAAUUUUGAACUUGGAGGACAAUGCUUCGCUACCAUGCCGACACCCGCCGAGAACUUUCUGGUUUCUUGUGGGAAUUGGGAUAAUAGUUUUCAUAUUAUUUCCCUUACUGAUGGCAGGUUGUUACAAAGCAUCCGACAGCAUAGUGAUGUGGUUAGCUGUGCAGCAGUGACAUCGGAUGGAAGCAUUCUUGCUACGGGAAGUUACGACACUACAGUUAUGGUGUGGAAUGUUCUCCGUGGUAGGUUCUCUGAAAAAAAAGCACGCAAUACACAAUCCGAGUCACCUCGAAAAGACAAUGUCAUUGCAGAGACUCCAUUCCAUGUUCUCUGUGGGCAUGACGACAUAAUUACGUGCUUAUAUGUUAGCGUGGAGCUAGACAUAGUUAUCAGUGGUUCAAAAGACGGGACUUGCAUUUUUCAUACUCUUCGUGAGGGACGAUACAUAAGAUCUUUGCAUCAUCCAUCUGGUUGUGGAUUGUCAAAGCUCGUGGCUUCUCGGCAUGGCAGAGUCGUGUUUUAUGCUGAUGAUGAUCUUAGUUUGCAUCUCUAUUCAAUAAAUGGUAAACAUUUGGCUGCUUCGGAAUCCAAUGGCCGCCUCAACUGUGUCCAACUCAGCCAAUGUGGCGAGUUUUUGGUUUGUGCUGGUGAUCAUGGCCAGAUAGUCGUCCGCUCCAUGAACUCGCUCGAGGUUAUAAGUAGGUACAAUGGAAUUGGAAAAGUAAUCGUGUCUCUAACCGUUACCGCCGAAGAAUGCUUCCUUGCUGGAACAAAAGAUGGAAGUCUUCUUGUAUAUUCAAUCGAGAAUCCUCAGCUACGAAAAGCUAGCCCGUCUCGAAAUACCAAAACUAAACCUUCUGCUGUGUGAUAGAACCUCUCUCAGUAGAUAUGGGAUUCUGACAUGCUGCUCUAUUGCCCCAGAGCAUUUUGCAGUAACCAUGACUUUGGAGUUAUGAUCUGUUUCAAUUUUUUGAAGUACUCCAUGUCUGAGGAUCUGGAAGGAUGUUCUUGCUGAUAGCUCGAACAGCUUAACGUAUCCGAGCUUAUAUUGCUUCAAAUACGACACAGGAUAGUCCCGACGCAAUUUUUUCUCUACACCAUGAGAUUUCUACUUGAUCAUCUCUUAUACAAAUCUGAUUAUCUUCAUCUUGGGGAAAUGUAUAGACAGUGGAGGAGCUGAAACUUGUAUAUAAUCGGUAGACUAAAUGUCCAUUCUCAGUUGGUGCACCUCAGUCAUCCUUUGAGGCCUUGAACUUUAAGAACAUCUUUUCAAUAGGUUUAGUUUUUAUUUAAACUGUUCAUAUCAAUUUGUAUAUUUUACUCAUCUUGUUGAUUUAGUAAUACUUAGCUUUUAGCUGCUCCAUGUCAUGCUAAUCGUUUAUUGAAACGUCCUCGAGAUAAGAUAAGUUAAGUUGUAUUUGUCAACGGUUCUAAAUUUAGUUUCAAUUUCUAAUAUGGCUCUAGAUUUCGUUUCCUUUUC